UACGGAGGGAGCUAGCGUUAUUCGGAAUUACUGGGCGUAAAGCGCACGUAGGCGGCUUUGUAAGUAAGAGGUGAAAGCCCGGAGCUCAACUCCGGAACUGCCUUUUAGACUGCAUCGCUUGAAUCCAGGAGAGGUGAGUGGAAUUCCGAGUGUAGAGGUGAAAUUCGUAGAUAUUCGCAAGAACACCAGUGGCGAAGGCGGCUCACUGGCCCGGUACUGACGCUGAGGUGCGAAAGCGUGGGGAGCAAACAGGA
rnacentral:rRNA from 1 species